rnacentral:rRNA from 1 species
CAUAGGUUAAUGAGGCGAACCGGGGGAACUGAAACAUCUAAGUACCCCGAGGAAAAGAAAUCAACCGAGAUUCCCCCAGUAGCGGCGAGCGAACGGGGAGGAGCCCAGAGCCUGAAUCAGUGUGUGUGUUAGUGGAAGCGUCUGGAAAGGCGCGCGAUACAGGGUGACAGCCCCGUACACAAAAAUGCACAUAUUGUGAGCUCGAUGAGUAGGGCGGGACACGUGGUAUCCUGUCUGAAUAUGGGGGGACCAUCCUCCAAGGCUAAAUACUCCUGACUGACCGAUAGUGAACCAGUACCGUGAGGGAAAGGCGAAAAGAACCCCGGCGAGGGGAGUGAAAAAGAACCUGAAACCGUGUACGUACAAGCAGUGGGAGCCUCUUAAUGGGGUGACUGCGU